UCCAAGCCAAAGACUGACAGCAAAGCAGAUUGCAGGUUAGAAGGUGGUGACUGUGACAUCACAGGGAGUGACAUGGACUGACAUGAUCCACUUUUGGAAUGACAUCUAAGAGAUACCAUCCUUCUAUGGCUAUUUCCAGAAGAAUUUCACUCUCAUCCAAAGACAGUCAAGGGAAGGAGAGCCAAGAAGCCUACACUAGACAUUCAGAUCUGACAAAGUGUUGAGUGGAAGAUUAUGCUGGAGGGGAUGGGCAGAGACACGAAUCACAAGGUGAGAACCUGUGUUGCCAAAACAAACAUUAGAAAAGAUGAGUUCAGAGAGGAGCUCUUCCUACCUUCUCCAAAUCUACAGUGAAGAAGAUGACAGCAGAAACGCAAAGUUGUUCUCUGGGUGUGCAGUGCUGGGUUCACCAAAUCAGUGCCUACAAUAAAGCAAAAAUGUGUCUUGACAAGGGCUGCUGCAAGAUGAACAAAUAGGCCCGACUCUGAAUUAUGAGAGGACUCCUCUGACAUGAGCUGCGAGGCUCUGAGAACUUUCCACUCAUUUGGUGUUUAGUAAUUCUCUUCAGACAAGACAAUGAAAACCAAACAAGCCUUCAUGUCAAAUGAACGGGAAACCAGGGAAGCCAUGCCACGAAUAAAGACCAG
ensembl:lncRNA